rnacentral:rRNA from 1 species
CCUACGGGCGGCAGCAGUGAGGAAUAUUGGUCAAUGGGCGGGAGCCUGAACCAGCCAAGUCGCGUGCGGGAAGAAGGCACUGAGUAUUGUAAACUUCUUUUGUCAGGGGAUAAACGCGGCUACGGGUGGCUGUCUGAGGGUAUCUGGCGAAUAAGCAUCGGCUAACUCCGUGCCAGCAGCCGCGGUAAUACGGAGGAUGCGAGCGUUAUCCGGAUUUAUUGGGUUUAAAGGGUGCGCAGGCGGUGUGUAAAGUUAGCGGUAAAAUCACGGGGCUCAACCUCGGACGGCCGUUGAAACUGGCGGGCUAGAGAGGAGUGGAGGUAGGCGGAAUGCAUGGUGUAGCGGUGAAAUGCAUAGAGAUCACAAAGAACACCGAUUGCGAAGGCAGCAUACCA